UACGUAGGUGGCAAGCGUUGUCCGGAUUUAUUGGGCGUAAAGCGAGCGCAGGCGGAAGAAUAAGUCUGAUGUGAAAGCCCUCGGCUUAACCGAGGAACUGCAUCGGAAACUGUUUUUCUUGAGUGCAGAAGAGGAGAGUGGAACUCCAUGUGUAGCGGUGGAAUGCGUAGAUAUAUGGAAGAACACCAGUGGCGAAGGCGGCUCUCUGGUCUGCAACUGACGCUGAGGCUCGAAAGCAUGGGUAGCGAACAGGAUUAGAUACCCUGGUAGUCCAUGCCGUAAACGAUGAGUGCUAAGUGUUGGGAGGUUUCCGCCUCUCAGUGCUGCAGCUAACGCAUUAAGCACUCCGCCUGGGGAGUACGACCGCAAGGUUGAA
rnacentral:rRNA from 1 species